rnacentral:lncRNA from 1 species
UGUAAACAUUGGUAUCACACUUCCUAACACUCUUACUGAAAAAUUCAGAUCAGAACAAGAUCUAACCAAAACAAAACAGUCUCCUCAAGUAUAAUCCACAGUUGACUGACACCUGUGUUAGACCUUUCUCUUUGCUGGUCUUUGGAGGGAUCCAAGUGAAAUGCUUUGUAUUAGCUGGCAUGCUGCAGUUGUUAACAUCUAGAAUUUCUAAUUAGUAAUGUCCAAAUGAUAAGACUUCUGUAUGGGUUGCCAUGAACUGUUAUUGACUGCACUCAGUAUUUCUGAUAUGCUUAUCCUAAAACCACAAUUCGUUGUCAGCCUUACAGAGUGUUCCUUGACACUUUCAGAGCCUUUUAAGUACAUGAGAUGCCUCACCUCUUCUACUGCAUUUGUAUUAAUAUGUCUCUCCCUUCCUUUCUUCUGCACAGACAGAGGAAGAAUCAUCUUUGUAUUGUCACAAUGAAGAAGACUGAAGAAAACAGACCUGCAAAGGGCCCAGCUGCCAGGUACAUUCAGAGCAAGCAGAUGGGACCAGUCCUCACACAAAAAGCAGCAAGAAGUGAGACCUUCCACCCAGCUGGAAUAGUCCAGAGGCAGUGUGACUGAAGGGACGAACACAGCACUGACAUGGGAGCUCCUACAACCCAGGGAAAUCUCCAGCAGCACGUAAAUUCAGAAAGCUUAAAGGCUGGUCUAAACUUGAAAAAUCUUCGCAUACAUUAACUACGCUCAUUGAGAAAAGCCAUAUAAAUUGAUUCUCCUCAUAUGGAAGGAAAGAAGAUUGGAGCCCUUGGGUCCUGCACAAGGCAGUGCCCUUCCUGCUUCUCCUGGGGCUGCGGCCAGUUCAUUUAAGACCAUUCAAGUUCAGAAAGUGGCUCAUGGAAAAUACCAAUGUGCCACUUUUUACUAAACCUUGCAAAGACAAGUGAAGUGGCUCUGUGCUCACUUUUUCCUGCAACUAAAUUGCUACCAGCUUCAUAGACCUGAUAAGACCCUUUGGUGGAUCAGCCCCACAUCGUCACAGCUAUAGAGGGUCAUCAGCCUCAUUCGUCAUUUCAACAUAUCAUGCAGUCAUGUUCUGAUGGAAGGAGCACUUCUUGAGUUUUUUACUUUCCUCCAGCCAACUUACAAGUAGUACGAAGUGACUCAGGAGGGAGUUGUGUUUGUGUCUUCCCAGUGGGGAAUGAAUCAGAUCCGUGUGUGAGGGGAAGCAAGUGACCUGAGUGAGUAAAUUAAGGGCUUUUCAAAGCUUUGGUAGGGGUUUAAAGAGGAAAAGAAGUUGCAAAGACUGCUUUAAAUUAUGUUUCUUUCCAAGAAGCCAUGACACCUCUAUUAUCUGAGUAAAAGUAGGGUGUUUGCAAGUAGUACACAAUGAAACAGGUAAUUCCAUAGAAAAAUGAAAAAAG